rnacentral:rRNA from 1 species
AGAGUUUGAUCAUGGCUCAGAACGAACGCUGGCGGCGUGGAUAAGACAUGCAAGUUGAACGCGACAUUCAUCGUAGCAAUACGGUGGGUGUUGAGUAGCGCAAGGGUGCGUAACACGUGGGAAUCUACCAUGAAGUUGGGGAUAACUCGCUGAAAGGCGAGCUAAUACCGAAUGUGGCUGCAAAGCUAAAGCUGGGGACCGCAAGGCCUGGCGCUUCCUGAUGAGCCCGCGGCCUAUCAGCUAGUUGGCGGGGUAAAGGCCCACCAAGGCGAAGACGGGUAGCUGGUCUGAGAGGACGACCAGCCACACUGGAACUGAGACACGGUCCAGACACCUACGGGUGGCAGCAGUCGAGAAUUUUUCUCAAUGGGCGCAAGCCUGAAGGAGCGACGCCGCGUGGGGGAUGAAGGGUUUCGAUCCGUAAACCCCUGUCAUUUGUGAACAAUGGUUAUCGUUUAAGAGAUGAUGACUUGAUAGUAAUGAAAGAGGAAGGGACGGCUAACUCUGUGCCAGCCGCCGCGGUAAUUC